rnacentral:rRNA from 1 species
UACAGAGGGUGCAAGCGUUAAUCGGAAUUACUGGGCGUAAAGCGUGCGCAGGCGGCUUUGCAAGACAGAUGUGAAAUCCCCGGGCUCGACCUGGGAACUGCAUUUGUGACUGCAAGGCUAGAGUACGGCAGAGGGGGAUGGAAUUCCGCGUGUAGCAGUGAAAUGCGUAGAUAUGCGGAGGAACACCAAUGGCGAAGGCAAUCCCCUGGGCCUGUACUGACGCUCAUGCACGAAAGCGUGGGGAGCAAACAGG